rnacentral:rRNA from 1 species
UGAUUUUCCGGUUGAUCCCGCCGGAGGUUACUGCUAUCGGGGUCCGACUAAGCCAUGCGAGUUGAGAGGGGAAAGCCCUCAGCAUACUGCUCAGUAACACGCGGAUAACCUGCCCUCGGGUCCGGGAUAACCCCGGGAAACUGGGACUAAUACCGGAUAGGCCAUAGAUGCUGGAAUGCCCUAUGGCUGAAAGCUCCGGUGCCCAAGGAUGGAUCUGCGGCCUAUCAGGUUGUAGUGGGUGUAACGUACCUACUAGCCUACGACGGGUAAGGGUUGUGAGAGCAAGAGCCCUGAGAUGGAUUCUGAGACAUGAAUCCAGGCCCUACGGGGUGCAGCAGGCGCGAAACCUUUACAAUGCGGGCAACCGCGAUAAGGGGACCCCGAGUGCCAGCACCUAGUGCUGGCUGUCCCGCUGUGUAAAAAGCAGCGGUUAGCAAGGGCCGGGCAAGAAUCGAAUUCCCG